UAAUGCCUAGGAAUCUGCCUGGUAGUGGGGGAUAACGUUCCGAAAGGAACGCUAAUACCGCAUACGUCCUACGGGAGAAAGCAGGGGACCUUCGGGCCUUGCGCUAUCAGAUGAGCCUAGGUCGGAUUAGCUAGUUGGUGAGGUAAUGGCUCACCAAGGCGACGAUCCGUAACUGGUCUGAGAGGAUGAUCAGUCACACUGGAACUGAGACACGGUCCAGACUCCUACGGGAGGCAGCAGUGGGGAAUAUUGGACAAUGGGCGAAAGCCUGAUCCAGCCAUGCCGCGUGUGUGAAGAAGGUCUUCGGAUUGUAAAGCACUUUAAGUUGGGAGGAAGGGCUGUAGGCUAAUAUCCUGCGGUUUUGACGUUACCAACAGAAUAAGCACCGGCUAACUUCGUGCCAGCAGCCGCGGUAAUACGAAGGGUGCAAGCGUUAAUCGGAAUUACUGGGCGUAAAGCGCGCGUAGGUGGUUCGUUAAGUUGGAUGUGAAAGCCCCGGGCUCAACCUGGGAACUGCAUCCAAAACUGGCGAGCUAGAGUACGGUAGAGGGUAGUGGAAUUUCCUGUGUAGCGGUGAAAUGCGUAGAUAUAGGAAGGAACACCAGUGGCGAAGGCGACUACCUGGACUGAUACUGACACUGAGGUGCGAAAGCGUGGGGGAGCAAACAGGAUUAGAUACCCUGGUAGUCCACGCCGUAAACGAUGUCAACUAGCCGUUGGAAUCCUUGAGAUUUUAGUGGCGCAGCUAACGCAUUAAGUUGACCGCCUGGGGGAGUACGGCCGCAAGGUUAAAAACUCAAAUGAAUUGACGGGGGGGCCCGCACAAG
rnacentral:rRNA from 1 species